rfam:Pseudomonas putida CSV86 contig00088, whole genome shotgun sequence.
CGCGUUUUAUUUCGGGUAUUGGUUUAGCCACAGGCGCCGCUGAUACCCACACCGGCGCCCACGAACAGGGCCGCCGAACACGAGAACUCUCGAACCCCCGGACGGCCCAGCCCUCCGGGGG